rnacentral:misc_RNA from 1 species
UCCGGUUUGUCACCGGCAGUCUCCCAUGAGUCCCCGGCAUUACCCGCUGGCAACAUGGAACAGGGGUUGCGCUCGUUGCGCCACUUAAGGCAACACCUCACGGCACGAGCUGACGACAGCCAUGCAGCACCUGUCCUAGAGUCCCGAAGGGGCACCGUGUUUCCACGGCGUCACCCCGCAUGUCAAGCCCUGGUAAGGUUCUUCGCGUUGCGUCGAAUUGAGCCACAUGCUCCGCCGCUUGUGCGGGUCCCCGUCAAUUCCUUUGAGUUUUAGCCUUGCGGCCGUGCUCCCCAGGCGGCGGACUUAAUGCGUUAGCUGCGGCACAGAGGGCAUGACGCCCCCCACACCUAGUCCGCACCGUUUACGGCCAGGACUAC